AACACCAUGUAACAGACGGAGGCAGAAUUCGAAGGGCUGCAGCUGUGAGCCCAGAGAGCCAAGGACUGCUGGCAACCCAUCCGAAUCCAGCAAGAGGCAAGGAAAGAUGCUCCCCUCCGGGUUUCAGGAGGAGCCUGACCAUGCCGAUACCUUGAUUUCAGACUUCAGCCUCCAAAAUGGUGAGGCCAGGCACUUUCCACGGCAUCUCAGGGAGAACCUCGAGGCAGUCAAUAACUCCUGUGGCUGAAGAUGCUGGGUUCACUGGUGAUGGUGGGGCCCGUCUGGUCUCCCCACUGGAAAGAUGCUUUAGUUUCAAGGAAGCUGAAAGAAUCAACCAGUGCACAUGAUCACUUGAAUCAGGACACUCCAGACACAGAGACGGGAGACAGCGCAGAGCCAAGGAGAGAAGGGCCAGGAGAGAGGCUCUCCUCUCAGGAGCA